UAUUUUAGAUUUUACAACAGUGUUUCGUUUGGGUUUUAUUCUUGGUGUUGAAGAUUCUUCUUCGCUUUGGUGCGUUGAGAUUCUUGUCCUCCUGCAUCUUGCUUGGUGUUCCUACAUUUUUGACCUGCUGUUAGCUUCUACUUCUACAUCUUCUUUGGUGGUUUUGGUGCAGUUUUCUUUUGAUCAUAGCAUUUUUAUGUUUCUUCGGGUCCCCUUGUAACUGCUGGUUGGAUGCCUUGUUUUGGUUUUACCUACCAUGAUGUAUUUUUAGCUGGUAAUCCUUCAAAAGCGUCUGCUUUCUGUGUCUGUGG
rnacentral:misc_RNA from 1 species